rnacentral:lncRNA from 1 species
AUGACGGAGAGGAAAGCAUCAUUGUGGUCAUUCUCUGUCUCACUGUCCAGCAGGGGCUCCCCUGAGGGGCCCAGGGCUCCUCCUCCAUGGUGGAAGGUGGGCCCUUACCAGGUUCCACCACCCCCAAAGUGUGUGGGGUUCUGGGCCCUGGGCUUUCAGGGCAGGUGGCUUCAGGGGGCCGCCCAGGGUCAGCACUCCCUGUCCCACCUGGUGGACGCUCAUGAGCAACAGCUGCCAACUCAGCAGGUUCUUUUGUCUAGUUGGAGGCCACUGAGUGUCUGGCAGGUUGCUGGGCUUUGCGUGGCUGCAGGGAGGGGUCAGGAAGGAGAUGGAGUACCAGGGGAACACAGCCAAAGAGCGAGGUUCCACGUUCCUCUACCUGAACAUGCCGAGGCCACGGGAGGCCUUGCUGAAUGCAAGCAUCAGGGGCCUGUGGGCCGAGUACAUGGUCUGGGCAGGGGUUCCUGGCAGGGGCUCACACUUCCUCAGCCCCCUCCUCAGCCAAGGUGGCUUGGGCCUGGAGAAGGGGAGUGGG